rnacentral:rRNA from 2 species
GCAUCCUGGGGCUGUAGUCGGUCCCAAGGGUUGGGCUGUUCGCCCAUUAAAGCGGUACGCGAGCUGGGUUCAGAACGUCGUGAGACAGUUCGGUCCCUAUCCGUCGCGGGCGCAGGAAAUUUGAGAGGAGCUGUCCUUAGUACGAGAGGACCGGGAUGGACACACCGCUGGUGUACCAGUUGUUCCGCCAGGGGCAUCGCUGGGUAGCUAUGUGUGGCCGGGAUAAGUGCUGAAAGCAUCUAAGCACGAAGCCCCCCUCAAGAUGAGAUUUCCCAUUGCGCAAGCAAGUAAGAUCCCUCAAAGACGAUGAGGUAGAUAGGUUCGGGGUGGAAGCGCGGCGACGCGUGCAGCUGACGAAUACUAAUCGAUCGAGGACUUAACCA